rnacentral:rRNA from 1 species
AUGGACUUCCGUGGUAGAAUCUACCGUUCAGGUGUAUUGCAUUUUCAUGAGCGUGAUUUGUCAAAAAGUUUAUUACUCUUUUCUGCCGAUCAUCCUCAACCUCAAGCACAAAACCACCUGUCGGAAAAAAAGAAUCUCAGUCAACACUUAGCAUGUGCUGCAGCCUUUAAGUAUCCAAAGUUCUCGAACUUAGAUGAUGCCCUUAAAUGGUAUAACGAACACCAGACUGAAAUGUUUACUUCGGACGAAAGUUUCAUUCAAUUUGCUGCGCAAGCUAGUGAUCCAUUUUUUUUCAUAGCCAAGAUCCUUUCUCAGGAUGAAGGAGUGAGUAAUUAUCAUCAGGUUCCAGUGACCCAAGAUGCGAGUGCGAGUGCAUAUCAAAUUAUGAGUUAUCUCUUGCUUAACUUAGAAAUGGGUAGGAGAACGAAUCUUCUUCCAUCUUAA